AUAUAUUAAAUAUAUAUAUAACAUAUAUUGGAACAAUACAGAAAAUAUUAGCAUGGCUCCUGCACAAGGAUGACACGCAAAUUCGUGAAGCAUUCCAUAUUUAA